GCAAGUCGAGCGGAAACGGCAGUAUUGAAGCUUCGGUGGAUUUACUGGACGUCGAGCGGCGGACGGGUGAGUAACGGCUGGGAACCUGCCCUGACGAGGGGGAUAACCGUUGGAAACGACGGCUAAUACCGCAUAAUGUCUACGGACCAAAGGUGGCCUCUACAUGUAAGCUAUCGCGUUGGGAUGGGCCCAGUUAGGAUUAGCUAGUUGGUAAGGUAAUGGCUUACCAAGGCGACGAUCCUUAGCUGGUUUGAGAGGAUGAUCAGCCACACUGGGACUGAGACACGGCCCAGACUCCUACGGGAGGCAGCAGUGGGGAAUAUUGCACAAUGGGGGAGACCCUGAUGCAGCCAUGCCGCGUGUGUGAAGAAGGCCUUCGGGUUGUAAAGCACUUUCAGCAGUGAGGAAGGUAGUGUACUUAAUACGUGCAUUGCUUGACGUUAGCUGCAGAAGAAGCACCGGCUAACUCCGUGCCAGCAGCCGCGGUAAUACGGAGGGUGCGAGCGUUAAUCGGAAUUACUGGGCGUAAAGCGCAUGCAGGCGGUUUGUUAAGUCAGAUGUGAAAGCCCGGGGCUCAACCUCGGAACCGCAUUUGAAACUGGCAGGCUAGAGUCUUGUAGAGGGGGGUAGAAUUUCAGGUGUAGCGGUGAAAUGCGUAGAGAUCUGAAGGAAUACCAGUGGCGAAGGCGGCCCCCUGGACAAAGACUGACGCUCAGAUGCGAAAGCGUGGGUAGCAAACAGGAUUAGAUACCCUGGUAGUCCACGCCGUAAACGAUGUCUACUUGGAGGCUGAGGUUUAAGACUUUGGCUUUCGGAGCUAACGCAUUAAGUAGACCGCCUG
rnacentral:rRNA from 1 species